AGUGAACGCUGGCGGUAGGCCUAACACAUGCAAGUCGAACGAUCCCUUCGGGGAUAGUGGCGCACGGGUGCGUAACGCGUGGGAAUCUGCCCUUGGGUUCGGAAUAACCAGGAGAAAUCCUGGCUAAUGCCGGAUGAUGACUUCGGUCCAAAGAUUUAUUGCCCGGGGAUGAGCCCGCGUCGGAUUAGCUAGUUGGUGAGGUAAAGGCUCACCAAGGCGACGAUCCGUAGCUGGUCUGAGAGGAUGAUCAGCCACACUGGGACUGAGACACGGCCCAGACUCCUACGGGAGGCAGCAGUGGGGAAUAUUGGACAAUGGGCGAAAGCCUGAUCCAGCAAUGCCGCGUGAGUGAUGAAGGCCUUAGGGUUGUAAAGCUCUUUUGCCCGGGAUGAUAAUGACAGUACCGGGAGAAUAAGCCCCGGCUAACUCCGUGCCAGCCGCCGCGGUAA
rnacentral:rRNA from 1 species